UACGUAGGGUGCGAGCGUUAAUCGGAAUUACUGGGCGUAAAGCGUGCGCAGGCGGUGAGCUGUGUCCGAUGUGAAAGCCCCGGGCUUAACCUGGGAAUGGCAUUGGAAACUGGCUCGCUGGAGUGUGGCAGAGGGGGGUGGAAUUCCGCGUGUAGCAGUGAAAUGCGUAGAUAUCAGGAGGAACACCGAUGGCGAAGGCAGGUCUCUGGGCUGACACUGACGCUCAUGCACGAAAGCGUGGGGAGCAAACAGG
rnacentral:rRNA from 1 species